rnacentral:rRNA from 1 species
UACGUAGGGUGCGAGCGUUUAAUCGGAAUUACUGGGCGUAAAGUGUGCGCAGGCGGCCGAGCAAGUCGAGUGUGAAAGCCCCGGGCUUAACUUGGGAAUUGCGCUCGAAACUACUUGGCUGGAGUGUGGCAGAGGAAGGUGGAAUUCCGAGGUGUAGCGGUGAAAUGCGUAGAGAUCUGGAGGAACACCGAUGGCGAAGGCAGCCCUUCUGGGCCAACACUGACGCUCAUGCACGAAAGCGUGGGGAGCAAACAGG